rnacentral:rRNA from 1 species
UACCAGCACCCCCGAGUGGUCGGGACGUUUUAUUGGGCCUAAAGCAUCCGUAGCCGGUUCUACAAGUCUUCCGUUAAAUCCACCUGCUUAACAGAUGGGCUGCGGAAGAUACUAUAGAGCUAGGAGGCGGGAGAGGCAAGCGGUACUCGAUGGGUAGGGGUAAAAAUCCGUUGAUCCAUUGAAGACCACCAGUGGCGAAGGCGGCUUGCCAGAACGCGCUCGACGGUGAGGGAUGAAAGCUGGGGGGAGCAAACCGG